rnacentral:tRNA from 1 species
UCCUGGUGGCUCAGAUAGUAAAGUAUCUGUCUGCAAUACAGAAGACCCGGGUUUGAUCCCUGGGUCAGGAA